UUUUACUUUUUUUAAAAGUCUUUAUAUCGCUGUCUCUGGACAAAAUUUUUACUUCUUCUCAUCAUAAGCUUCUUUUUAUGUCAAGUCGAGAUAAAGCCUAUAGAAAAGGGAGCCGAGUUACUUAUACUUCUAUUUAAGUUUAUAUUUUUCAAAAACAAUUAAAUCCAGGAUUUGAAAGUAAUAAAUUAAUAAUCUUCCUUUAUGAAAUAGAACUUCAGGUGUACAUAUCGCCCGUCACCCUCGUCCAAAGAUGAGGUAAGUCGUAACACAGUUAAUAUACUGGAAAGUGUAUUAAGGG
rnacentral:rRNA from 1 species